rnacentral:tRNA from 1 species
GCGCCUGUGGUGUAAUGGCGUAGAGCAUUCACGACGGUCAGCAGGAGGUGCGGGUUCGAGUCCUGCCAGGUGCA